UACGUAGGGGGCAAGCGUUGUCCGGAAUCAUUGGGCGUAAAGCGCGUGUAGGCGGCCAGAAAAGUCCGCUGUGAAAACUCGAGGCUCAACUUCGGGCUGUCGGUGGAAACUUUCUGGCUAGAGUCCGGAAGAGGAGAAUGGAAUUCCUGGUGUAGCGGUGAAAUGCGCAGAUAUCAGGAAGAACACCCGUGGCGAAGGCGGUUCUCUGGGACGGUACUGACGCUGAGACGCGAAAGCGUGGGGAGCGAACAGG
rnacentral:rRNA from 1 species